rnacentral:tRNA from 1 species
CGCUACGGACUUGAAAAUCCGUUGGCUUAUUGACCGUGAGGGUUCAAAUCCCUCUACCCCUA